rnacentral:sRNA from 1 species
CUGUCAGCACCAGGGGGUGCGAACUCCCUCCCCACUGCGGGCGCACAGAUGCUCCCCAGCCUCGGCCAUCAUCUGUGCGAUCUCUGCGGUGGACGAGGUGGACUACAAGACGGCUGAGGAGAAGUACAUCAAGGGGCCUUCGCUGAGCUACCGGGAAAAAGAAAUAUUUGACAACCAGCUCCUUGAAGAGCGGAACCGGCGCCGUUGGUGAGGGAGCAGCCGGCUGUGCUGUCAGCGGGGCCUGGCGGUGGAAGCGCCUCCAGUGUGCUUGAGCGUGUCUGAAGAUGGGGAACUCAGGGGGCACGUUUGCGUUUGGACCUGUCUGUGCUUUCUCCUGCGUGGCAGUCCUGAUUUCCAUACUUCUGGAAAAUCCAUUUCGUUAACACUGAAAGCCAGUUCUCUUUUCCUGGCAGUUUUGUUCAUUUUAUUUUUGGCAUUUUUUACAAGAUACCGUUCGGGAAAGGCUUUUGAAAGGACGGAAGCGUAUUCACUGUGCGCCA